ensembl:lncRNA
GGAGGGCGGGAGGAGGAGGAGUUGAGGAGCCCGGGCCCGGGAGCCUCCCCGCUUACCGCACUAGGAAGUGACGCUUUCCCUGAGUCCCGGAGAGAAAGAAACAAAGUUUUUUUGGUGGUUUUUUUUUCUUCUUUCCGUUUUUUCUCUCGCUCGGUGGUCUUUCCUUCUGCGUUUACUCUUUGCAAUCUGCAGCCCCGGAGGCUCCCGCCGUACCUCGCAGCGCAGCAACUGAAAAGGACUGAUUCUUUGCAGUUUACCAGUCAGAGCUGACAAUACACCCACGCACGUAUGUGAGUGUCUUAUAUAAUACUUACGGUUUUUUCACCAGGCAUAAGCGAGGUUUAUUUUUGGUUUCUAAAGUCUUGUGUGAUUGCAGCCUUCAGAAUUCAAGAAAUAUUCUCUCUGCUCGAAGAGAUUUAACUUGGCAGCCUCUUUAAAACAAAUAAAUCAUCAUGGCUGUUACCAGAAAGAAGCUGUUUUCAUCUCGAGUUUGAGUGCGGUGGAAGGGCUGUCUGGAGAGAGCAGCAGGCAGUCAAGGGAGGGAAAGAGCGAAAAGAAAUGUCCUAAUGCAGAGACUGGUAUUAGGUUGUUUGGAGGGCGAGACUGCAGUUCCAGGCAGCAACAGCAGCAGCUUUAUGACUGUGUGUAAUUACAGAGUGAUUGCAUAGGACAGCAUUGUUGGAACGAAUACGUAUGCAUGGGCCAUUGUGCAAGAUUUCUGUACUGAACAAAACGUAGAUUUGCAUUGCAAAUGCUAAAAUGAGAAUUUAUUUUGUAUUGAACUGCCAUGUUCCUCUUUGACUUCGCUGAAAAAUUAGGAGGGGGAAAAAGGAGAAGCGGAGUGAGGCUGAUCGUAGAAGUCACAGCUCUGAAAUACUCAGCAGAAUUGCCACCUGUAGUGCCUGCAAUCUCAGGGGACACAGCAAGCUGGUUGAAUCUGUGGGUUCUCUUCUGAAGUGAUUAUGCAGAAAGUGAAAAUCAGUCCGGUUUGCUAGUAGUCCUGCAGGUUUUGUGCAAUUCCUGAUGUCAUCUUUUUUUCUUGUUUGCUGGUGCGGGGAAAAAAAACCUCUGUGCUGAGUUCAGCUGUCUUGUGUGGAAAUGGAGAGAAGAGCACUGAGUUUCUGUGUCAGACCACAAAAAAAUCACGAGGUUAAAAGCAAAGCUAGACUGAACAUAAGUUCUGAACAUGCUGUUUCAACUUAACUGGUUUCUAUGAAGAGUUGCAUACUGCUUGGUGAUCUUGCUGGCAGUGAAAGCUGAUAGAUAGGACAAGGUGGUGGGAGUGUGCCACAAACUCUGCAGAAGCAAGGUUUUGGCUGAGACUUUGAAAGAUCAUCAAAAUGAUGGGCAAAGUCAUUGUGGAUACAAAUAAGAGUACCUAAGAUUGUUUUUUCAGAGGUGAUGGUUACCUGUAACUUCCAUCAGGUUAAUUUUGUUUUGGAAGUCCUUGGAAUUUGUGUAACAUCUGACCCAAAAGAUUUCAGAUCUGGUAUUCAGAAAUUUGCCUUUCCAGGAUUAGAGAAGAUUUUCUGAAAAAUGUUGUCUUUAACAGUCAUUGCUGAGGAUGUAAUGAAUGCAGGGAAGGCUUGUUUUGAGCACUACGAUGGAAAGUGCUAUUAAAAAAAAUGGAAAGUUGCUUUAAAAUUUCUUGGUAUUCCAUUAGAACAUGCUAUUUCAGUUAAACACACAGAUUGUCUUAUUGUUGUUAGUUUCCUCAGGCUGCCAACUAAGUGCUUUUUGUAAAAUAUAUGUAACUUUGCUAAUGAAGAGUAUAAUGAUGUGCUGGAGCUGUUUGUUUUGCUUUGCUGUGUUUUUUUUUUUUUUUCUUCUUCUUCUCUCUAGCAUGUGGCUAAUUAACCACAACACUGGACUUAUCACUUGACAAAUUUAGUUUCAUAAUGAUCCUUCUGUAACUUUAGUGGAGCAUUUUAUUUUAAUGCAAAACAAGCAAAUAGCAAACAUCUUUUAAUCCUUGCAUUACCAUGGCAUUCUGUUUGUAGAUUUUUCUUUCUAUUGUUCUUCACGUCUUGACUGGCUUUAUAUAUAUGUCAUCCUUGGUAUUCUAAUAUCAAUGGCUUCUGGGGAAAACCCAGAAUUGCGCUUAAGUAUUCCUUAAAUCAUUUGUGGUCGUGGUGCAAUUCAGUCAUUCCUUAUGUUAGCUUUUGCUUUCCACAGUUUAAGUGGUUUGAGAAAAUAUUUCCGGCCAGGAUUCUUUGGACUUGUAUACAAACGAGGAGAUAACUUUUACAUCUGUGAGUUGUCCUGUGGUACUCAGGGGAAUUAGUCAUAGACAUGUUUAUUGCCUACUUGCAAAAGGAAGCUUAGCCAUGCUAGCCUUUACCCCCACCAAGGUGCAUGAGAACAGCGGUGAUAAGAAAUGAUGAGGUGUGUAGCACAGUAAGAGCCUUCCAAGAGCCUACACACUCAUUCCAGAGGUGAAAUUAUGCUUCUGCAUUUUCAUUCUUAUUGUCAUCCAAAUGUGGUAGCUGCGGAACUGCAGAUAUUUCAAGCCUAUGAUGCUACUCUGUCAAGCUACUGGGCAGUCCUUCAAGGCGCCUCAGUGGAGGGCCUCUACCACUCAUUGGAAGCAGCCAUCUUGGGGGUGGGAGCAGCGGGUGUGGUGAAAGGGAAGGGGCUCAGGAGAGACAAAUACCUACUAUUAAUCAGAAUGGCAAUCUGUCUAGCCUGUGCUCCGGUCUCCAAAGGUAAGAGGGGUUACUAUGUAUUUCAGUAAUUCUUGGGGAGUUUCUACUCAGGAAACUCAUCUGGUAUUCUCUUGAGCUUAGAUACAUACUAAGCAGCUGAUUUUGUGACCUAAUCACAGAUUUAGGAUAUUGAGAGGACGCAUAUUAGGGAUAAGACAUUACUGGUUUUUGUUGAGGGAAGAAAAAAAUAAGGCAUUGCCUGACGUCUUAGUAUUGGUUGAAUUAAAUUACAGCUUAUGCUAAAAUCAAGUGCUGUAAGUGUGCAUGUUGUUUCCAGCGCAGUUAGUUGUAUGCCAAGUGACAUAAAAGGAGAGAGAAACUACUCUAUGUUCAUCAUACAAAAUGUUGGUGGGGGCAGAAGGCAAGCAUUCAAGUUUUGCAACACGUGUCCAGAAAGCUGGCAAAUUCUGACAUGGGCAAGCCAAAGCUAAUGAGUCAGCUUCCAAAUGGAAGACUUGUCACUGAGCAAUUUGUAAAUGGGAAGGACGUGCUGCUAAUUCAAGGAAAUAUCCUUAGCACCUCCCCUAAUAAUUGGAAUACAGUGGCACAGAGCUAUCUGUCAGUGGGGAGUUGUUGGUGCUUGAAUCAUGUGUUCUCUCUGGUGCGAUUUCAGCGUUCAGGCCAACAGACCCAUGUCGUGCGAUGUGUAGAUCCAUGAAAGAGGUGAUUGCUCAAGCAAUAAUUUAAGUCUUUGCGUUGCAUGCCAGCAGCUUGCAUGCCAUGUGAAAGAUCCUUGGCAGCUACAGCAGCUCCCAGUGCACAAAUGGCAUGUGUUUCCAGCAUGAGGCCGCUCAAUAGGUGCUAUGCAACAUUUUGCAUAACUUCUGCUUCAAAUGAUCUCCAACUGUAGCCCUUCUAGAGUGCUCUGCUGAUCAACUCAAGCAGCUGAAAAAUGCACAAACUGUUACGAGAAAAAGUGAUACACUUCUCACUGGAAAAGUGUGAGAGCAUGCUUUUGGCCUGGAGCCAACAUUCGAGUAUUCAGGAGCAAAUGAGCAAAUGGGGAUGCAGAAAUAAAUGUUGCAAUUUAAUUAUUUGCUUUUCUGUAUUGAUGCUUUUUAUAAAGUUUGCUGCAACUUACAACCACCUCAUUUCCAAGCCCAAAUUAUGAUAAUCCACUAUAUUAUGGUAUGGAAUAUGUACAGAUAGAUAUUCCUUGAAAUUCACAUACUUAAAAAAUGCUUGUUCAUUUUAAGCACAAAUUACAUGAAUGCAUCUUGUUGCAUUGAUAGCUGCAUGUUCAGCAUUAGCAUGUAAAGAGAAAGCAGUUGGAAUAGAGUCAGUAUUCAGACCUUACUUCUUUGCUUUAUACUAUCGUCGCACAUGAAAAUAGGUUCAGUUCCUUGGCCUUCCUCAGCACUAAUAGGGGAGGCUAUAGUUGCAUAAUAUAUGUAGAUAUAUCCUCUUUGUCAUAUUUGUUUUGGGAAGAUAAAUUGUAUUUGUUUGUGUAUUUAUGUAUGCACACAAACUUGAUAUACACUCUUAAAUCUCUCAUCAUCUUAUAACUCAGUUUUCCUGAGAAAAGGUAUUUCUUUUUUCUGUGGUGCUAGAGAGUACAAUUCAUAAAGAAAAGCUGUUCUUUCAAGUUUGAAUAUCUUUCUUGUUAAUCUUAAGUUAUUGUUUAAUUGUGUUUGGUAUUGUUACUGCUGUAGUGGCCAAGACAGGCAUUAGUUUUGACUGCAAGGAUUGUUCCUGUCUUUUUUAUUGAGAACAUUUAACUGAGAAGACUUUAAAAUAUUGGUUUGGCUUUGCAGUUUGGAUGUGGUGUGGAGUUGUAUGGUUAAUUCCCAGCUACCAGGUCAGCUGCAUCACUUUGUUGGGGGUAAACUGGAAUCUGCUCUCUGAAGCUGUGCUGUGUGUCAAUAGACCUGCCUGAGUGCUUGUCAUCUUGUCACUGGUGUGCACUGUGAUAGGUUCAGAAUUCUGAAUAAUCUCCAAAUUGCUUUGUUAUGGAAUAGUGAUGUUGUAUUAUUUCAAGCUCCGUGUACUCGUGUACACUUAGGUGUGCAGUCUCAGUCUGUUAUUUCUGUACGUACUCAUGAUUCCUUGAGCAUCUCCUUUUGGACUCCUACAUCUGCCUCUUAGCAUUCUGUCAUAAAUUAUAUUAUUUAGAGUUUUAUAAUAAUGUGAAUGAACUGUUCUUGCAGUUUUGCAGUAUCCUUAACCAUUCCAGUUCUUGAUCCUGAAUAGGUAACUUCAGAUAUUGAAAAGUAAAACAAAGUGCCAUAUGUUAAAAAUAUUGCUAGGAUUUUACUUUUUUUUUUUUUUGCCAUUAAGAAUGUCUUGUUUUCAGGCUUUAUUUCUUCCUAGGUAAUGUUUUCUUCAUUCUUUCAAGCACUUCUGAAAGUGAAGUUAGCUACGUUUGUGGAAAAUUGCUAUGCUUGGGUGGAGAAGAAUUUAUGAAGCAUUCUCCUGUUUUUUAAUUGAUUCUCUAUCAUUUCAGAACAAAAUCCUAGCACUACCAAAUCCCUGGUGAGAAGAAAGAGAGCCACAGCCCUAAGGCAUUCUGAUUGCCAUGAUGACAAUUUAAGAUGCCAAAGAUGUUCAUAUAUAUAUGAAACUGGCACUGAAAACUGACUGUCCCUAUUGUUCAGUUUCAUUUCAUGGCUUAGAAAAUUCCAAGUUGAGCUAUUGUUGUCGAACCUUUUUUUGUAAAGCCCUAGAUAUUAUCCUGCAUGUGACAUGCU